CAUUGAGAAGCUAUGAAUCAGCACUAGCCUUUUAAGCUAACAAAAGAGGGCACUCUCCUCCUCAAUGA
rnacentral:tRNA from 1 species